UACGUAGGUGGCAAGCGUUGUCCGGAUUUACUGGGCGUAAAGAGCGCGCAGGCGGUCGUUCAAGUCGCGUGUGAAAGCCCCCGGCUCAACUGGGGAGGGUCACGCGAUACUGAUCGACUCGAAGGCAGGAGAGGGUAGUGGAAUUCCCGGUGUAGUGGUGAAAUGCGUAGAUAUCGGGAGGAACACCGGUGGCGAAGGCGACUACCUGGCCUGUUCUUGACGCUGAGGCGCGAAAGCUAGGGGAGCAAACGGG
rnacentral:rRNA from 1 species